GGGAUUUCGGUGUAGGUAUGGCCUUGGGCUAAUAACUUUCAACUUGAGAAAUAUUUCUAAGUAGUAUUCACAUACUACUAUGGAGAUACUUAUGCUUGGAAAGUGCAUCCUUAUUUUUUUCUUUUAAAUUUUAAUUUUUAUUCUCUUCCUUGUAUUAGUUUAGUAUUCAUACAAGAUUUAUACAAAGCUAUGCUAUUCAUUCAACUAUUAAAUCUAGGAGUAUUUCAAUGAGUAGGGAGGAGGGUUAGACCAGUAUGUUAAGUAGUUUAGGGUUUUAUAUUCACUUUUGCUCUCUGUUAUGAGUUGAAUGAGUUGAAUUAUUAUCUUAUCUUGCAAUCCACCUCAUUUACACUCGAAUUAUAAACCUCUAAGCUGCAUAGUGUCAAUCUUAUGAAGUAUUGAUUUUUUGUUGGCAUUUGGCAAGUUUUUUAACUUUCAUGAUUUUGUGGAAUGGUUAUAUAUAUGUGUGUGUAUGUG
rnacentral:misc_RNA from 1 species